UCUUGUUAUUUUCUUUAUCAAUCCUUCUUCCUUCUGUGCAAAACCUAGAUCUAAAUCGAUUCUCCUUCGACGUCAUCCCUAUCUGCCGUCGAGCUUUCUACGGCCUCCGUUCACAUCUCUUUUUCUUUGGAUUGAGGUCUAAAGAAGCUCUAAUAGAUAGUAGAACCCGAAGCGAAGAAAUCCCAAAGAGAGCCGGAGGCCGAGCUUGACCGUGAACCCUCCAAACUUGUUGCUGGAACUUUUCGCCCUUGGCUGCUAACUAAACAUUCUUGUGCUAUUUUUUGGGGGUUUUGAGAUCAGAUGCUGUGAUAUCAGUGUGAAGGGUCCACGUUACAGCGAAGCUGGCGGCCUGUUAGAAGUUCUACCCGGUUUAGGGUGUCGUAGGGGAGGGAUUGACCUUUCUAACGCAUAUGCAGUCCUACCGGUGGUGAGUCCUCCGAUAAAGGCAAGGAAAUU
rnacentral:sRNA from 1 species